GGGAGGGGCUAGGGGCGGAGUCUUACUAGGAACCAACAGGCGGGCGACUGGAACUUGGGCACAAGCCUUUUUUAUUUCACAGAAGGCCUCCGAAAAUGGAUGGUGCAGCACGGUGGGGACGGCUGGGUGGUGGAGGAAAACAGGACAACCGUGCCUGGGGCCCCUUCUCAGACGUGCUUCGUGACUUCAUUCAGCUGGUGUUGCAAGAAGCAGGUCUUGGACCUAGAGGAGGAGGGUCUGUGGCCUGAACUGCUGGAUAGUGGCAGGAUUGAGAUUUGUGUCUCUGACUGGUGGGGAGCCCGACACGACAGCGGCUGUAUGUACAGACUCCUUGUCCAACUUCUAGACGCCAACCAGACUGUUCUAGAUAAAUUCUCUGCUGUGCCUGAUCCCAUCCCGCAGUGGAACAACAAUGCCUGCCUUCACGUCACCCACGUGUUCUCCAACAUCAAGAUGGGUGUC
rnacentral:sRNA from 1 species